GUCUACGGCCAUACCACCCUGAACGCGCCCGAUCUCGUCUGAUCUUGGAAGCUAAGCAGGGUCGGGCCUGGUUAGUACUUGGAUGGGAGAAAUGUACCAAACAUGUUGGUUUCUUAGUUU
rnacentral:rRNA from 1 species